AUUUUCAUCUUGUGUAAACAUACAGUAACCAUUACAACAAGCAUCCAUAUCCCUUUAAGACACCCAAGACUAAAGAUUAUUCUUUAACUUUCCCAAUUUAGCACUUAUCUUUGAGUCGAUGGAACAAUGCAGACAAUGUCUUUUUUUUUUCUUGAAGUCUCGAAUGUAUAUCGGUACGAAUCUACAAUCACUAUAUCAUAAGAAAGUUUCAAACGAUCAUGUGCUCCUGUUAUGAUGUUUGUUCUCCAAUUUCACCUUGUUGGCGUAAAUGGGUCUCCAAGUCGCCCUUUUGAAAACCUUGUAGUUUUAAUAAUGCAUUUCUUAAAUUAUUUUAUUUUUAGAUCAAUAAUGUAGGUCAGUAAAACUGCUAUAAAUAUUUGCACAAAUUUGACCACUUUUUUUUUUCUUUUUUUUUUUACCCGAUUCUUCUUCCAAUGUAUUACUAAUUGUACUGGACAUGUUUGCUUCAUUUUGUUAUUUAAAUGUUUUUAUACCAUUAUUUUCACAAUACAAGCUCACAUAAUUCCUCUGUUAUUAGUUCUGUGGAAUUAAUUUGCAAUAAAUAAAUAUAUUGUUUGUGUGA